rnacentral:rRNA from 1 species
AGAGUUUGAUCCUGGCUCAGGAUGAACGCUAGCUACAGGCUUAACACAUGCAAGUCGAGGGGCAGCAUGGUCUUAGCUUGUUAAGUCUGAUGGCGACCGGCGCACGGGUGAGUAACACGUAUCCAACCUGCCUUAUACUCCCGGACAGCCUUCUGAAAGGAAGAUUAAUACGGGAUGGUAUCACGGGCCAGCAUUUUCUCGUGAUUAAAGAACUUCGGUAUAAGAUGGGGAUGCGUUCCAUUAGAUAGUAGGCGGGGUAACGGCCCACCUAGUCUACGAUGGAUAGGGGUUCUGAGAGGAAGGUCCCCCACAUUGGAACUGAGACACGGUCCAAACUCCUACGGGAGGCAGCAGUGAGGAAUAUUGGUCAAUGGGCGCGAGCCUGAACCAGCCAAGUAGCGUGAAGGAUGACUGCCCUACGGGUUGUAAACUUCUUUUAUAAAGGAAUAAAGUGAGGCACGUGUGCCUUUUUGUAUGUACUUUAUGAAUAAGGAUCGGCUAACUCCGUGCCAGCAGCCGCGGUAAUACGGAGGAUCCGAGCGUUAUCCGGAUUUAUUGGGUUUAAAGGGUGCGUAGGCGGACGCUUAAGUCAGCGGUAAAAUUGCGGGGCUCAACCUCGUCGAGCCGUUGAAACUGGGUGCCUUGAGUGGGCGAGAAGUACGCGGAAUGCGUGGUGUAGCGGUGAAAUGCAUAGAUAUCACGCAGAACUCCGAUUGCGAAGGCAGCGUACCGGCGCCCAACUGACGCUGAAGCACGAAGGCGUGGGUAUCGAACAGGAUUAGAUACCCUGGUAGUCCACGCAGUAAACGAUAAAUGCUAGUUGUCCGGGGCGAUUGAGUUCUGGGUGACACAGCGAAAGCGUUAAGCAUUCCACCUGGGGAGUACGCCGGCAACGGUGAAACUCAAAGGAAUUGACGGGGGCCCGCACAAGCGGAGGAACAUGUGGUUUAAUUCGAUGAUACGCGAGGAACCUUACCCGGGCUCAAACGCAGGAGGGAUGUUUUUGAAAGGAGGCAGCCAGCAAUGGUCUCCUGCGAGGUGCUGCAUGGUUGUCGUCAGCUCGUGCCGUGAGGUGUCGGCUUAAGUGCCAUAACGAGCGCAACCCCUACCUACAGUUGCCAUCGCGUGAUGGCGGGCACUCUGUGGGGACUGCCUGCGCAAGCAGUGAGGAAGGCGGGGAUGACGUCAAAUCAGCACGGCCCUUACGUCCGGGGCGACACACGUGUUACUAUGGCAGGUACAGCGGGAAGCCACCCGGCGACGGGGCGCGGAACCCGAAAACCUGUCUCAGUUCGGAUUGGAGUCUGCAACCCGACUCCGUGAAGCUGGAUUCGCUAGUAAUCGCGCAUCAGCCAUGGCGCGGUGAAUACGUAACCGGGCCUUGCACACACCGCCCGUCAAG